rnacentral:rRNA from 1 species
AUUGAACGCUGGCGGCAGGCCUAACACAUGCAAGUCGAACGGUAACAGGAAACAGCUUGCUGUUUCGCUGACGAGUGGCGGACGGGUGAGUAAUGUCUGGGAAACUUCCUGAUGGAGGGGGAUAACUACUGGAAACGGUAGCUAAUACCGCAUAACGUCGCAAGACCAAAGAGGGGGACCUUCGGGCCUCUUGCCAUCGGAUGUGCCCAGAUGGGAUUAGCUAGUAGGUGGGGUAACGGCUCACCUAGGCGACGAUCCCUAGCUGGUCUGAGAGGAUAACCAGCCACACUUGAAAUGAGACACGGUACAGACUCCUACGAGAGGCAGCAGUGGGGAAUAUUGCACAAUGGGCGCAAGCCUGAUGCAGUCAUGCCGCGUGUAUGAAGAAGGCCUUCGGGUUGUAAAGUACUUUCAGCGGGGAGGAAGGGAGUAAAGUUAAUACCUUUACUCAUUGACGUUACCCGAAGAAGAAGCACCGGCUAACUCCGUG